rnacentral:rRNA from 1 species
CAGCCGCCGCGGUAAUACGAGGGAUCCUAGCGUUGUUCGGAAUCAUUGGGCGUAAAGGGUGUGUAGGCGGCCUUGUAAGUCAGUUGUGAAAGCCCCGGGCUCAACCCGGGAAGUGCUUCUGAUACUGCUUGGCUUGAGUAUUGGAUAGGUGAGUGGAAUUCCAGGUGUAGUGGUGAAAUACGUAGAUAUCUGGAGGAACACCGGCGGCGAAGGCGGCUCACUGGCCAUAUACUGACGCUGGAACACGAAAGCGUGGGUAGCAAACAGGAUUAGAUACCCCUGUAGUCCCUGUCUCUUAUAC